AACGAACGCUGGCGGCAUGCCUAACACAUGCAAGUCGAACGAGACCUUCGGGUCUAGUGGCGCACGGGUGCGUAACGCGUGGGAACCUGCCCUUAGGUUCGGACUAACUCCCCGAAAGGGGUGCUAAUACCGGAUAAUGUCUUCGGACCAAAGAUUUAUCGACUUGGGUGGGGCCCUCGUUGGAUUAGAUCGUUGGUAGGCUAAAAGCUGACGAAGGCGUGGAUCCAUAGCUGGGAACAGAGGAAGAUCAGCGACACUGGGACGGAGACACGGCCCGGACUCCUACGGGAGGCAGGAGAGGCGAAUAGUGGAAAAUCGGCGGAGGCAUGAUGCAGCACUGCCGCGUGAGUGAUGAAGGCCUUGGGGUUGUAAAGCUCUUUUACCCGGGAUGAUAAUGACAGUACCGAGAGAAUAAGCUCCGGCUAACUCCGUG
rnacentral:rRNA from 1 species